rnacentral:tRNA from 1 species
AAAAAUUAGUUAAUUGAUAACAUGAGCUUGUCAAGCUUAAGUAACUAAGAUUAUUUAGUAUUUUUUA